rnacentral:rRNA from 1 species
CAAUAGCGUAUAUUUAAGUUGUUGCAGUUAAAAAGCUCGUAGUUGGAUUUCGGUUAAGAGCGACCGGUCCGCCGUUUGGUGUGCACUGGUUGGUUUUAACUUCCUGUAGAGGACGUGCUCUGGGUUUAACGACCUGGACUCGGAGUCUACGUGGUUACUUUGAAAAAAUUAGAGUGUUCAAAGCGGGCUUACGCUUGAAUAUUUCAGCAUGGAAUAACACUAUAGGACUCCUGUCCUAUUUCGUUGGUCUCGGGACGGGAGUAAUGAUUAAGAGGAACAGUUGGGGGCAUUCGUAUUUCAUUGUCAGAGGUGAAAUUCUUGGAUUUAUGAAAGACGAACUUCUGCGAAAGCAUUUGCCAAGGAUGUUUUCAUUAAU